rnacentral:piRNA from 1 species
UGACUAGGCCGUGAGCAAAAGUCUAUAGU